GCACGAAACUAGCUCAUAUACACAAUUCAAAUUUCAAGCCUGACAUCACUACAGUCGCUGGCUCACUUCACCUCCAUCAUCUACGACCACCAUGGCCCGUGAACCAACUAAACUCCAACUCCAACUCCAAGAUAAUAAUUGAUUUAUCGGAGACACACGAAACUAGCUCAGAUACACAAUUCAAAUUUCAAGCCUCACAUCACUACAAUCGCUGGCUCACUUCACCUCCAUCAUCUACGACCACCAUGGCCCGUGAACCACUAUGUAUCCGCCCCACUCCUCUUCAUCUUCUAUUUCUCAACCUCCAUCUGCCACUAUCAUCAGUAGAACACCACCAAACGAACCUCACUCAACACCGUGCAGCAAAUCUUCGGUCAAUCAUUAUUACCAUUGAAAUUUGAUUUAACCAUCAUAUCUAGAGCAGAUCUGAUUCCUCCCUCCACCAUCGUCGAAAAUUGAUUCCUCCCUCUAUCUACGAUGAGCUUCACCACCACCGGAGAACCUUCUCCCGUCGAUUGACAGAUCUAGUUCCUCUCUCCAUCAUAGUCGGAUGGCAAUUGAGCUCGACGCAGAUCUGAAAACUCCAGCAAGUUCAAGCCAAAUUCAGAUAUUCUUGUAUUUGGAUGGUGUAUUAACAACAGUGUAUCUUUUAAUUUUUGUGACUUCCUGAUUUUUUGUAAUCUGAAAAUUUGUUUAUCUUUUUUAUUUUUGAAAAUUAUCUAAACAUAGAGAAAAGGCAUAAAUGAUCGCUUAUUGGAGUAGGCCUAAUAUAGGUCUUUAAAUAUACACUUAUCAAUUUUAAUCCUUUAAUUAUCUAAAAAUUUAUCAAGUUUAUUUUUAUAUAUUCUUAUACAAAUAACUUUUAUUUAUAUUAACGGAAAUUUGUAUUCCUUUUCUCAAUUAUUUCUCUUUUGGACACCUUAUCCUCAAAUUUCUCUCGUCAUAAAAUAGAUUAUAAGUACAAAAAACAGUAUUUUGCAUUAAACUAGGUCAAAUUACAGUACUAAAAUCUCAAAAAGUCACUACACUACACAAAAAAGCUAGAUCAAACUAUCAUCAAACUGUACAAAAAAUAAUGCCA
rnacentral:lncRNA from 1 species